GACCGAGGUGCCGAGCGUUAGGCGGAAUCACUGGGCUUAAAGCGUGUGUAGGCGGGCGAUCAAGUACCUUGUGAAAUCCCACGGCUCAACCGUGGAACCGCUGGGUAUACUGGUUGUCUUGAGCCGGCUAGGGGCGAGCGGAACAGACGGUGGAGCGGUGAAAUGCGUAGAUAUCGUCUGGAACGCCGAAGGUGAAAACAGCUCGCUGGGGCCGCGCUGACGCUGAGACACGAAAGCCAGGGGAGCGAACGGG
rnacentral:rRNA from 1 species